GUUUCAUGAACAUUAUGAGAAUAAAAAAUUAGUUAUGCGAAUAAACGAACGCAUUGGCGAAGUCGGUUUGGCGAUUCGUCGAGCCGUUAUAAAGUUAUUAAAGAAACGGAUGUUUAGGCUUCGUUUCCGCCUGGAGGGCCGAGGCGGCAUCGUAAACCCAUGAAAACGGAUUUGAAGCAUCGUGGCACAUAACCGAAGACCUUUAAUUUUCGGAUCGUGGAUUGGAGGCCGUUCGGAUGGUCGCGCGAGAGAUCGGGCCAAACCGGGUGCCGAGUACCGCGGGAGGCCGAUUGCAAGUGUCGACAAGCAAUCGGAAUGCGAAAUGAGGUGGGUUGUGUUUACCGAAGCGACUAGGUCGCCUCUAUGUCUAAGAGAAAUGGUUACGUAUU
rnacentral:lncRNA from 1 species